rnacentral:tRNA from 1 species
GCGGACGUGGCGGAACCGGUAGACGCAACAGACUUAAAAUCUGUCGAGGGUAACCUCGUGGGGGUUCGAGUCCCCCCGCCCGCACCA